rnacentral:sRNA from 1 species
GGGGGCGAAAGGUCUCGACGGGGGUUAUGAGGCUCAGAUGGCAUGCCGUGGCUCCAUCACCACGUAAAAAGAUGGAAAAAACACAAAAGCCAAUAACGAACUGGCACUUGCCGCUUAACUAAAAACGGCACGUCUCUCCGGGUAAGCCUGCGGCCCGGUCUGACGCAGGUAGCGGGCUAAGCUUCCGGGUGGCCUCUUUCCGGAAGACGAAAACCAAAUAAGGGGGAUAGGCGCGGAGAGGGCGCGGCUGUUCGCAGGCUCCGGGCCGAAGCUCUAAAUAGGCAGCCUAAGCAUGUAGAAGUCUGGGAAUAGUACUUUCGGACGCGGGUUCGAUUCCCGCCGCCUCCACCA